CAGUCUCAGUUCGGAUUGAAGGCUGAAGUUCGCCUUCAUGAAGCCGGAAUUGCUAGUAAUGGCAGGUCAGCAUACUGCCGUGAAUACGUUCCCGGGCCUUGUACACACCGCCCGUCACACCAUGAGAGUUGAGAAUACCCGAAGCCCAUGUCAAAGUGGUCGAAGGUAGGCUUGAUGAUUGGGGUGAAGUCGUAACAAGGUAUC
rnacentral:rRNA from 1 species